UUGCUCUAGUUUGAUUGCGGAUGACGCACAUUUCAAAAUUUGCCAUCGUUGGCGCUGUGGUGGGGCACUCACUCUCCCUCCCUUUUCUCUACCUCUUGAACUUAAAUUACCAUCCCUCUCCCCACCCCACCCACAUACACCGCCAUUAAUGCUGGCAUUUUCUGCUGUUCUUUUGCUCACAUAGUCGAGGAAUUUAGGUUAACUGGAAGGUUCAGAGGUUGCUUUAUAAAAACUGUUCGAAUAAGCAUGCCACCAAAUUCAAGAGUUGCAAAAUCCUUUCAUGCUAUGAAGGCUAUCGGGGUCUCUGAGGAUAAGGUGCAGCCAGUAUUGAAAAAUCUACUACGGUUGUUUGAUAAAAAUUGGGAGCUUAUUGAAGAGGAAAAUUAUAGAGCCCUCGCUGAUGCUAUAUUCGAGAGGGAGGAAGCAGAGGUGUGGUGUUCCCCCCAAAAAAUCUUCUUUUUUUCUUUUUCCUUUUUUUUCUCUUUGGAGUCAUUACCUUUCCACCUGUUAAGACUCUUUGCAAUUUGUGGUUAUGAAUAAUUUUGUUGAAGUGCAAAUUUUUCUUGGUUUACCUUAUCAUUCAGGCAAUAGAGCAAUCGAAGAAGAUUGGAAACAAUGAAGAGGAUUUUUUGGAGGAAGAAGCUCAGGUGAAUGUGGAGCCUGAACGACCCGUAAAAAAGUCGCGAUUAAGAAACUGAGAGGGUGAAGCAUCGCCCUCCAUAAAUAAUACUGGCUUGCCCGGAACUUCACUUGUCAUACUUAAAGAAGAACAGGAUGAACUUCUUGAGUUGUGUCCCCAGAAUCAGAAUCAGUCGCAAGGCAUAGCAUACUCACCUCAGCCCAACACUGGAAAGUUGACAACUGAAUCACAGGCUGCUGCAUGCCAAUCACUUGGUCAGAACAAAGAGGAGCCACCUGUUUCUCCCAAAUCAGUGAUGGUCCAGUAGAGGUGUGAUCCCUCUUGGAGUGUUAGAAUAUGUGAUCAACAUCAACCAAGCUGCACCAGAUCAAUCCAGCAGGUUCUCUUCCAACUCAACCAGAUUCCAGAGAUUCCAAUGGAUCAGAUUAAAUCUCCAGCCUUCCACACGGAUUCUCCCAGCUGUCUCCAGCUCCCAGAUUCUUUCUACAGCUGUUAAUUAGUUGGUAGUUUAGUUAGUUAGUUUAGUUUCUCAUUUUCUCUAUAAAUACCAGACCUUGUAUAGCUUUUAGAUCAUUGGAGAAUUUCUUCUUCCAAUCCCUCCCUUCCAUGGAGGUUAUCUUCCUCCUACAAUGGAGGGUCUUUUAUAUGGAACUCAUUCCGGUUCCUUUGUAUUUCUUUUCUCCUUUUAUGGAGUUCAAUUCAAUAUUGUUUCUUGCUUCAAUGAUGAAGCCUUUCACAUUGUUUUCAUUCAAGAAUUUAACAUGGAGUAGUGCUGUCAAUAAGAGUCAGCAAAAAACCAGUUCGAGAACUGAAUCCAAUUUAGUUUCUCAUCCCAUGUGCCUCAGAGAUAGAGGAAAGGGAGCUCUGUCAUCUCAAAUUCCUCCUGGGGAGAAGAGGUAAUCUCUUGCUGGAUGCCAUAAAGAGCCAAGCCUUGAGCCCAGCAUUGCAGUGUUGCUGAAGACCAUUACCAGUCAUGUUUUAAUUAAAGACGAGCCGGUCACCUACGACAUGUCACAGCUUGAGGUUCCUAUUGCAGUCAUCCAGCCAGAUCCAUCAAGUAAAGGAGAGUCAUCAAGUGGAAAUGGUUCAAUCAGAGAAAAUAAUGGUCCUGGUGUUGGAACCGGUGGAAACGAAACGCAAGAAUUGAGAUUUAAUGGACACCAAUUUGAAGUAUAAAUACAAGAUCGCAAAAAUACCAAGAAC